CCAGUUAGAAUUCACAUUCAAGCAGCA
rnacentral:piRNA from 1 species